rnacentral:rRNA from 1 species
UGGCCAGACUCCUACGGGAGGCAGCAGUGGGGGAUAUUGCACAAUGGGGGGAACCCUGAUGCAGCGACGCCGCGUGGGUGAAGAAGCGCCUCGGCGCGUAAAGCCCUGUCAGCAGGGAAGAAAAUGACGGUACCUGAGUAAGAAGCACCGGCUAAAUACGUGCCAGCAGCCGCGGUAAUACGUAUGGUGCAAGCGUUAUCCGGAUUUACUGGGUGUAAAGGGAGCGUAGGCGGCGCGUUAAGUCUGAUGUGAAAACCCGAGGCUCAACCACGGGAGUGCAUUGGAAACUGGCGGGCUGGAGUGCCGGAGAGGUAAGCGGAAUUCCUAGUGUAGCGGUGAAAUGCGUAGAUAUUAGGAGGAACACCAGUGGCGAAGGCGGCUUUCUGGACUGUAACUGACGUUGAGGCACGAAAGUGUGGGGAGCAAACAGGAUUAGAUACCCCAGUAU